rnacentral:lncRNA from 1 species
CUGCAAAUCCUCAUUCUGAGCUUUGAUACAAUCCCUUCCAAGUAGAAAAGUCAUAAUAGAAAAGUUGCUGCAAAGACUAUGAAGAUAAUAGCAAAUUAAUUUCUUUGUAAAAUAAACCUCUCGUUAAUUGUAUGUAUAAUAUCAGAAAUAUUGUAAUUAAUCAACAUAAGUUGCUGGUUUGAGGUACAUUCCGAUCAGAGAGAACAAGAGAACGAAGAUUAUCCGCAAUGAGAUUCAAGUAGUGCUAAGGGUAUCAUCAGCAAAAGACAGAAGGCUUUGCAAAUGGGAGAAGUUGAAAAUGAUGAUAUGUUUGUGUUGAAAUCUAAUUCAGGUGGUGUUUGGCUGGCCAUUAUAAGCCGACUUCUAAGUUUAUAAGUUAUAAGCAUUUAUUUGUACUAUUUGUGUAAAAAGUCAAGAAGCACUUAAAAGAAGUUAGGAUUAUACUUCUGCUUAUUUCCCAAACAAUUUAAUCACUUAUAAGUCUUAACUUGCUUCUGACUUCUACUUCACUUUUUUAUUUUAAGCAAAAAUCACUUAUUUUAAGCUCACCCAAACGGCCCCUCAAAAAAAAUCAAAGAAAGUGGAGCCGGAAUGGACAUUCAAGAGGUGAUGAAUGAAUGUAAACCAUUCUACUUGGCUGGCUUAGAGACAGCCUUAGAUUUGCUUGUUUGAACUUUAAUAUACAUCCAGAUUUUAGUUAAUGUUAUUUAACUGUUCAAAGUGCCCGUUAUGCUACUUGAUCAUCAUCCUGAUCUUUAGGGCGGGGACUCUGAUUAAUCCAGAGCGGAGAGGUUUUGUGAAGGAGAUUCCUUUGGACUGCAUUGGGCAACACUAUGAGAGUGUUUGGUUUAUGGUUAAUAAGAGCAUCUCCAAAAGACCAAGAGACUCUUAGUUGUUCUUCAUAUCACUAAUAACCUCUUGAUUCUUUCUCCUCUCUCCUCAAAGUUAAGAGCCACUACAAAGCUCUAAAAUAUCCAUUCCCUCCAAUUACAUUUGAGUCUGUGUCAUACACAAGUCCAAACAAAAAUAAAAUAUUAACUUAAGAGCAAGUAUAAAGAAUAUUGUUGGAAUUGAGACUCUUAAAUUUGUAUUAAGUUACUAAGAGUCUAAUAUUUUAUAUUAUAUUUAAGAGUUGGUUAUGCGAUUAUUGGAGAUGCUCUAAACUCGGUUAACAGAAAUCGAAACCUUAAUCUCAUAACAAGUGUUUAGAUUAAUUAUUUGGUGCUAUGGAAUGAGAACUAAACACUUGUUAUUUGGUGUUUUUAUGAUCAUUUUGCCGGAGCACUAUAGUUGCAAUGAUUCGAAAUCUCAAAUUUGAUCAGAAAAAACCCAAAAAUUAAAUGAUCUGUUAUUCGGAGGAUUUUAUUCCUUACGCUUAACCAAAUCGAAACCUUAAUCCCAUAACCAAGUGAUUAGAUUUCGAAUCAUGUCUCGUAUUCCAAUUAACCCUCGUUUCCGAUUCCCAUUCUCAACCUCAAUCCAAAAGCCCUCUAUGAGUUCCAGCUAUCUCCAUCUCAUGUACUUUGCCAGUGCACAAGAUCCACCUUCCAAUCAUAUGAUUCGGGACAAAAAUUACUCACACAAACACAUUCACCUCUUCAAUCCAUAACAAUCAGUUUACUAAACUGAAUCAAUCUUUGAUUCAUAGAAUGUCCUUCAGCAAAGAUGAAGAUGAAAAAACUUAUUCCAGGAUGUUCAUCAUAUUUUUCAUUUAAAACUGGCAAAAUAAUGUAUAAUGAAACCAUCCGACUAAACUUAUUUUUUAAAAAUAAGAAUUUAUUCCUGAAAAAAACACAUACAAGUCAACUUUUUUUCCUGAAAGAAGCCAUUUUCCCCACGUAAUCCCACGGAGCUUAAUUUAUGUAGCCAAACAGGCCCAACAGUUACUGCAGAUUAUGUAUUAGCUGAAAUUGAGAAAACGAAAAGAAAAAGGAUGUGGAUACAGCAUCUUUCAACGCAUAUGCAAUUGAUUGCUUAUGCGGAGGCGAAAGACAAGCAUCGUGUUUGUUAUCUGCCCGCAACGGAACGCAGCCGCCGUUAGAUUAUUUUCAGACGGAUGGUUCUUUAAAAGGCAUUUCUGUUUUUUAACCCUAAUCUCC